UUGGAGGGCAAGUCUGGUGCCAGCAGCCGCGGUAAUUCCAGCUCCAAUAGCGUAUAUUAAAGUUGUUGCAGUUAAAAAGCUCGUAGUUGAAUUUCGGGAUUAGUACGUUGGUCGUGCCUUCGGUACGUACUGGUGUUACUGAUUCCUACCUUCUGACGAACCAUCAUGUCAUUAAUUUGGUGUGGUGGGGAAUCAGGACUGUUACUUUGAAAAAAUUAGAGUGUUUAAAGCAGGCUCGCGCUUGAAUACAUUAGCAUGGAAUAAUGAAAUAGGACGUUGAUCCUAUUUUGUUGGUUUCUAGGAUUGACGUAAUGAUUAAUAGGGAUAGUUGGGGGCAUUAGUAUUCAAUUGUCAGAGGUGAAAUUCUUGGAUUUAUUGAAGACUAACUACUGCGAAAGCAUUUGCCAAGGAUGUUUUCAUUAAUCAAGAACGAAAGUUAGGGGAUCGAAGACGAUCAGAUACCGUCGUAGUCUUAWCCAUAAACUAUGCCGACUAGGGAUCGGAUGAUGUUAUUUUUAAUGACUCAUUCGGCGCCUUACGGGAAAC
rnacentral:rRNA from 1 species